UACGUAGGUGGCAAGCGUUGUCCGGAUUUACUGGGCGUAAAGAGCGCGCAGGCGGUCGUUCAAGUCGCGUGUGAAAGCCCCCGGCUCAACUGGGGAGGGUCACGCGAUACUGAUCGACUCGAAGGCAGGAGAGGGUAGUGGAAUUCCCGGUGUAGUGGUGAAAUGCGUAGAUAUCGGGAGGAACACCAGUGGCGAAGGCGGAUCUCUGGGCCUUACCUGACGCUCAGGUGCGAAAGCUAGGGGAGCGAACAGG
rnacentral:rRNA from 1 species